rnacentral:rRNA from 1 species
GGCCUAACACAUGCAAGUCGAGGGGUAACGGAAGUAGCUUGCUACUAGACGACGACCGGCGCACGGGUGAGUAACGCGUAUGUAAUCUGCCUUGUACAGAGGGAUAGCCCAGAGAAAUUUGGAUUAAUACCUCAUAGUAUUACUGAGUCGCAUGAUUUGGUAAUUAAAGCUCCGGCGGUACAAGAUGAACAUGCGUGACAUUAGCUAGUUGGUAAGGUAACGGCUUACCAAGGCUACGAUGUCUAGGGGUUCUGAGAGGAUGAUCCCCCACACUGGUACUGAGACACGGACCAGACUCCUACGGGAGGCAGCAGUGAGGAAUAUUGGUCAAUGGACGCAAGUCUGAACCAGCCAUCCCGCGUGAAGGAUGACUGCCCUAUGGGUUGUAAACUUCUUUUAUAUGCAAAUAAACCUACUUUCGUGAAAGUAGCUGAAGGUAGCAUAUGAAUAAACACCGGCUAACUCCGUGCCAGCAGCCGCGGUAAUACGGAG